GGCAUGAUGGCAGAGUGGUCUAAUGCGAUAGACUAGAAAUCUAUUCUCUUCGGAGGCGUAGGUUCAAAUCCUACUCAUGUCG
rfam:Microdochium bolleyi strain J235TASD1 unplaced genomic scaffold Micbo1qcscaffold_5, whole genome shotgun sequence.